UCUUGUUGUUGUUUUGUUAUUCGAGGGAAGGGAUGGAGUUUGAAACCGUGUCUGUGCUUAUGAACGUGUGUGCCUGUGCAAAUAACUGAUAAUAUCACCGAAUCCAGCUUUAAAUAGCACCAUAGAGAGUGAAGAGACACCUUUGAGCUGUCUGGACUGCACCGACAGCUGCUCUCACAAACCAUCCAGAGACGAACCACAGCAGGACAUGAACCCAGAUGAUCUCUUGUUAACACGAUCAUGACAACGAGCCCAAACAUUCGAGCCAAAGUCAUAAAGAAGUAUCUUCAGUGACAAGAAGAACAAGGAGUGCUGCAACAGAUGGUACGGCCCCCUCAGAGCCCUGAUCUCAACAUCAUGGAGUCAGUCUGGGAUCACAUGAGGAGACGGAAACAGCUGAGACGCCUAAAUCCACAGAAGAACUGCGGCAACUUCUCCAAGAUGCAGGAACAACAGACCUGCCAAGUACCU